GCCAACAUGGAAUAGUGGUUUGAGUGUUAGACUACAACUUUGGAGACUAGGGUUCGAUUCCUUCCUUGGCC